UCACCCACUUUUAGAAUUGCUCCGUUCUUGAAGGAGAAAAAAAAAGGAGGCUAUCGCUCGCAUCGUUUUUUCCUAAAUAAAAACAGUUUUCCCGAAAAGAAAAACAAAAAAAAAAACUCGACUAAACCUAAAACAAAACCUCUCUUCUGUUAUUCGAUCUAGCUCCGCCUCCACCUUCUUCUCCACCAUCUACACAUCUGUAUCGUCCUAAUAUAUUCACCUCUAUUCUUUUCUUCGUUGAUUUACCUUCAGGAUAUUUGUCUUCGUUGAUAACAAAAAAAACAAACAAGUUUUCUGUCGAACGAAGUUGAAUCUCCAUAACCCUAAUCACAUCUCUUUUAUCCAUACCCUUAAUUUAUUCUCUUCUUCUCUCUUUGUUUGCCUUCUCCAUCUCUUUGUUCAUCGUAUCUGUUUUGAUUGUUCGUUAUUGGUUUUGUUUAAAUUGUUUUUGUUUGGUUUUAUUUUGAUGGAACGAAUUUUUACUAUUGGUAAACCCUAACCUUUUUCUUUCCGUCUCUUCGUUUCUCUGAAUCAUUAAACCCUAACCCAUGUAUUGUUUUGCAGGUACAAUCAAUAAACCCUAACCCAUGCUUUAUUUUGCAGGUACAAAAGAGCAAUAUAUUAAUGGUGAUAGAAAAAAACGGUUUGCACACCAAGAGAAAAAAAAAAAACUUCUCUUCUUACGAAACCAAAAAAUAAACCUACAAAAAAAAAAACACAAAGGUAUAAGAGGGUAUAUUGAUGGUGAUAGAAGCGUAGAAAUUGGAAACGCGACUAUGAAAAUACGAGCUUGUUCUAGAGCUUGGUAACAAUCCACGGAGAGGUGCGCUUUUGGCUGGAAACGAUUCUCACUUGCCUCCAGUGUUGUCCUUUCAUAUAAGGGGAUCUCUAAUACUCUUGAGGCAUCGAUUAUGCUGUUGUGAAAGCCCAUGAGUUACCAGCACUUUUUAGACAGGUUUACCAACAUAAGAACGAAAUGUUACUUCUAGCAGCGAUUAUGAAAGGAAGCUGGCUUUUGACAGCAACAUAGUAGAAAGGAAGAGCUGAAGAGAGUUGAGGACUUACCUGAACCCCCGUUUCGAGCCAUCUGUAUUAAAGACGCUGAACUUGAAGCCUGCGGCAAGCAUCCAACUCUAACCGUAAUGAGGACAAAGUGCAGAAGGAUGUGCUCAUGUUAUAACUUUUCAGGAUGCUUAUGAAUUUGUAGGGAAAAGACUACGGAUUUGUAGGAAAAGCCGCAAAAGACAUAUAUGUGUAAGUAAAUUUGAAGAGUAAUUGCAUGAGUUUGAUCUUUGUGAAGCCAUGACUACUUGGGAUCAGGGGAUAUUGUUGAUCAGCAUAAAUGGGUACAUAUCAUUCAUGAUUUCAUACCUUAAUUCUUAAAUGGAAAAAUACAUAGCAUAAUCAUUCAUUUUGUCCAUGUUGAUCGCUUUGACACAGUUAGGAGGCCUAGAGAGUGAGAGUGUGAGAGAUGAAAUAUGGAGGGGAACUUUAUAGAUAAACAUAUUACCUUAGUAUAUCUCAUAGUUAUAAAUAUAACCUUAGAAUUUUUAUUAGUACAGGAUGUAGACAGAGAAUACCAUAUCAAUUAUACAGUUAAUGGGGAGUUUUUUUUAUUAUUAUUUGGGAUCCAUAUUUAAUUUUGCAAUCAUUAUUUACGGCGUAGGAUGCAUGUUAACUUCUGGAUUUUUAACUUCAUUCACAUUUUUAGUUUUGAUUCCUUUGAACUGCUCACCUUUUGCAUUUUUUUGGUGGUAGGUCAAGAAAAACUUUGGUGCAGGCCUAAUAAAGAUGAUUUCAGAUGUCGCUAGCAUCUUUGUAAUAGCAAGUAGAUCUUAAUAUAUGGAAAUACCGAUGGUUUUAUAAUUAAGAAACAUCUUAAUAUUCUGGAAUCCUUUUUUUUCCUUCUUUCUGGAUUCCUUUGUUCUUCUUCUUCUUCUUCUUCCCGAUGGAAGUUUGACUUAGAGCAAUAGCUAUUUAGGGUCUGUUUGGGAGCUUGGAAACGGGAUAACGUAUCUUGGAAAAGUUUAUCUUAAUUUAAUUUAUGAUAACCUUGGUGUUUGUCUAAAA